rnacentral:rRNA from 1 species
AUGGAGAUACCACCAGGGUUUGGUACUUCACAGACCACGGGGAAGGUAUGCAGGCUGAAGAAAUCCUUGUAUGGACUGAAGCAAUCGCCGAGGGCUUGGUUUGAUAGGUUCAGAUGUGCUGUCCGUGCUAUGGGGUAUGGUCAAUGUAAUGGUGACCACACGGUGUUCUACAAACACUCACUCUCUGAUCGGAAGAUCACCAUCCUUGCAGUUUAUGUGGAUGACAUUAUCAUCACUGGAGAUGAUAAGGAGGAAAUAGAGAGAUUGAAGGGGUGUCUAAGCAAGGAGUUUGAGGUAAAGGAUUUGGGCAACCUAAAAUACUUCCUUGCAUUGAAGUGGCUCGGACAGAGAAGGGAAUAUCUUUGUGCCAACGGAAAUACACCUUGGAUCUCUUGA